CCGGGAAGUGCGCGAGGCCCGGGCCCCCCGGCCGGGGUCUCCCCCCCAACACCUGCCCGGCGCGGUCCGGGGUCGGGCCCUGGGCUCCCUAACCCCGGCCCUCUGCCUCGGAGGGCCCUAAGUCAGGUCUCCUAAGGUGUUGCUCAGGAGCUCUGACGGCUCCAGAAGGGGCGGAUAGCCUUCCUCCGUUCAACCCAAACUUUCUGAGCGCCUACCACGUGGACAGCUGCAGCUCCGUGCGGCGUUUAGGACAGGCUCCCUGUCUCCAAGAGGCUUUCCAGAUAAAAAGGAAGAAUAAAUAGCGUAACCUUCUGA